rnacentral:rRNA from 1 species
UACAGAGGUCCCAAGCGUUGUUCGGAUUCACUGGGCGUAAAGGGUGCGUAGGCGGUAGGGUAAGGCUGAUGUGGAAUCCCGCAGCUUAACUGCGGAACUGCAUUGGAGACUAUCUUACUAGAGGAAUGGAGGGGAGACUGGAAUACUUGGUGUAGCAGUGAAAUGCGUAGAUAUCAAGUGGAACACCAGUGGCGAAGGCGAGUCUCUGGACAUUUCCUGACGCUGAGGCACGAAAGCCAGGGGAGCAAACGGG